rnacentral:rRNA from 1 species
UACGGAGGGUGCGAGCGUUUAUCGGAAUUACUGGGCGUAAAGCGUGCGUAGGCGGAUGCUUGAGUCGGAUGUGAAAGCCCCGGGCUCAACCUGGGAAUGGCAUUCGAUACUGGGCAUCUAGAGUGUGGUAGAGGGGGGUAGAAUUCCUGGUGUAGCGGUGAAAUGCGUAGAUAUCAGUAUGUAUAUCUAUGGAUAAGGCGACCACCGAGAUCUACACUGACGCUGAGGUACGAAAGCGUGGGUAGCAAACAGG